UAUUCCUGAGCUCCCGCGUGGCGGAGAUGAGUUGGCACAAGACGAACAGGUCUACAGCAGAAGGAAACAGCUGGAAGAUUAUCUGAACAAGCUGCUAAGGAUGGCCAUGUACAGGAAAUACUACCACACUAUGGAGUUUAUUGAUGUCAGCCAGAUGUCCUUCAUCCAUGACCUGGGACCUAAAGGACUGGAGGGGAUGAUACACAAGCGUUCUGGAGGUCAUCGUAUCCCAGGCUUGAACUGCUGUGGUCACAGUGAAGUCUGCUACCGCUGGUCUAAACGGUUAGUACACACACGU